CACGUAGGGUGCGAGCGUUGUCCGGAAUCAUUGGGCGUAAAGAGCGUGUAGGCGGUUCGGUAAGUCGGCUGUGAAAGUCCAGGGCUCAACCCUGGGAUGCCGGUCGAUACUGCCGGACUAGAGUUCGGAAGAGGCGAGUGGAAUUCCCGGUGUAGCGGUGAAAUGCGCAGAUAUCGGGAGGAACACCUAUGGCGAAGGCAGCUCGCUGGGACGUUACUGACGCUGAGACGCGAAAGCGUGGGGAGCAAACAGG
rnacentral:rRNA from 1 species